rnacentral:rRNA from 1 species
AUUGAACGCUGGCGGCAGGCCUAACACAUGCAAGUCGAGCGGGGGUAGCAAUACCCUAGCGGCGAACGGGUGAGGAAUGCUUGGGAAUCUGCCUGGUAGUGGGGGAUAACGUUCCGAAAGGAACGCUAAUACCGCAUACGUCCUACGGGAGAAAGGGGGGGAUCUUCGGACCUCUCGCUAUCAGAUGAGCCCAAGCGGGAUUAGCUAGUUGGUGAGGUAAAGGCUCACCAGGGCGACGAUCCCUAGCUGGUCUGAGAGGAUGAUCAGCCACACUGGAACUGAGACACGGUCCAGACUCCUACGGGAGGCAGCAGUGGGGAAUAUUGGACAAUGGGCGAAAGCCUGAUCCAGCCAUGCCGCGUGUGUGAAGAAGGCCUUCGGGUUGUAAAGCACUUUAAGCGAGGAGGAAGGUUCGUCACCUAAUACGUGACGGAAUUGACGUUACUCGCAGAAUAAGCACCGGCUAACUCUGUGCCAGCCGCCGCAGUAAGAC